CAGAAGCUUCCAUAAGAAAUCCGCAAAAAUGAAAAUUCGGUGAAAGGCAGCAUAAAUGUCAAUAUUAGGAUUAAAUCUAACGACGACUACAGUCCGACUCACCCAGAUCAUCGGCCACAAUGAACAGAAUGUGGGGGGACUUGGCUUCCACUUGUUUCCUCUGUAGCAGGGCAAGUAGACCUCCGAACAGAACUAUAAGCGUGACCCCCAUGGCUGUGAGCACUGUUUACCUGACAGGUGGAUAUUUCUGGUGAUACGGGGAAUCUGUACAGAUAUACUUGACACAGGUGUGUUAAUAUUUAGGUUUACUGGUCAAGCUGUACAUUAGGAAUAAAAUAGUCUUACCGUUAGCUGCUCAGAUGAAGCUAUUUUGACUGCAAUUCCUGAUCACGCAUAUUUUAAGUUUUUGAUGAGAUUAACUUAACAGUGAAACACUAGGUGUUGUCAAUGGAAACAUAUUCAUAUAUGUAUCUGUGCGCAACGAUGUAUAUAUAUAGUUCUAAUUUGAAAUAUUACGCUCAAUGACCAUGUUUCCUGAAAGACACCUCUGAUGUAUCAAUAUAUGGUAUGGAGAGCCGUAGGGGACCACCAUGUCAUGUUCAAUAUGUUCAUUGAUCCGGGCAUGUUUACAAUCCUGGCCAAUUCAUGAAUAAAAAUUUAACCAUCUGAAAACAGAUUUCGUGGUCGCUGAAAAACAAACUUUUUCUACCAGCUUGCAUAUAAUUAUGAUUUUUGUUGCAAUUUUCACGCGGUGUGUAUUUUAUAUGUUUUUAACCGAACAAUAUAUGACACAAUGAACUACAAACGUAUUUAUAUCAGCUGAUCUAUAUUUGCUGUUUAAUUGAAAAAAAGUUUUAUAUGUUUGUCAAAAGACAUGGCAAAAUAUUUGAAAUAC
rnacentral:sRNA from 1 species